rnacentral:misc_RNA from 1 species
AUGUAAAUGUAACCUAAUGAAUGUUGAAAGUUUGGUUAAUUGAAAGUAAAAAGAUAGUUGAUUAAGCUUAUUUUAUUUAUUUAUAUUAAUAGUUUUAAUAUUUAAUUAAUAUUUGUUUAAUUUUUUUUUUAGCGACUCACUAGUUGAACUAGUGAUCUAUUGACUUGGCCCCUCAGCCGGGUCAAGCUCCGGACCAUGUUUGGUAACUAUGCAAUUUUAUGUGAUACACUGAAGAUGUGGCAUAUCUUAGCAUUCCAAUUUUUUUAUGUGGCUUUUUAUGAAUUUGAAAUAGUAUAAUGCAUGUCCAGGAUAGAUAAGUCUGUAAAUGCUUCUUGUUUUGUGCAUUAGUGUAUAUUCCGUAACUUUCUGCUUAUAUUACCUGUUAUAAUGAUGUUAUUUUGUUUUUCUUAUAGCAUUAAAUGAUGCAUUGAAAGAA